CGAGCUGAGAUUUCGUCACACACCAGACCACAAGGGCUGAUGAGACUCCCAA
rnacentral:pre_miRNA from 1 species